rnacentral:pre_miRNA from 11 species
GAAUGGUUUUGGAAUGACACGAUCACUCCCGCUGAGCGAGCAGAGCCACGGCCACGGGGAUGUCGUGUCUGUCCAAAACUAUUU